rnacentral:rRNA from 1 species
CCUACGGGAGGCAGCAGUCGAGAAUAGUCUACAAUGGUCGAAAGACUGAUAGUGCGACGCCGCGUGAACGAAGAAGCCCUUCGGGGUGUAAAGUUCUUUUAUAUGUGAGCAGUGGGUUCUAUGUGAACAGCAUGGGAUCAGAGAUAUUAGCAUAUGAAUAAGCAACGGCUAACUCCGUGCCAGCAGCCGCGGUAACACGGGGGUUGCAAGCGUUGUCCGGAAUUACUAGGCGUAAAGGGCAGGUAGGCGGAUCCAUAAGUUUUUUGUUAAAGGCAACGGCUUACCCGUUGUAAGGCAGGAGAUACUGUGGAUCUGGAAUGCGGUUGGGGAAGACAGAAUUCCUGGUGUAGCGGUGGAAUGCGCAGAGAUCAGGAGGAAUACCGAAAGCGAAGGCAGUCUUCUAAGCCGUCAUUGACGCUAAACUGCGAAGGUGUGGGUAUCAAACAGGAUUAGAUACCCUGGUAGUCCACACAGUAAACGAUAAUCACUAGGUGUCGGGUUCGUAGAGGAUUCGGUGCCGUAGCUAACGCGAUAAGUGAUUCGCCUGGGGAGUACGAUCGCAAGGUUGAAACUCAAAUGAAUUGAC